rnacentral:tRNA from 1 species
UCUUCCGUAGUAUAGUGGUCAGUAUGUGAGCUUGUCACCUAAAAACUGACUCCGCUCGAGACCCGGGUUCAAUUCCCGGCGGGAGAG